UCCUCUUUUUUGAUAUCACUGGCCCUUGGAUUGUAUAAAUAAUUGUCAUCAGAAUCCUCACGAGAUGCUGCUUUUAGCAACUGAUUACUUCCUAUGUCAACAUCUCCUAAGGAAUUAAAACAUGCACAUUCAACAUUUGUAUUAGCCAUGUCAAGUUCAUAUCUUUGUGCAACAUCUUCUGCUCUCUUUACUAACUCUGAAACCCAAUUUGUUGAAAACAAACAUUUCAGGUCUAGGUUUCC
rnacentral:misc_RNA from 1 species